CUACGGGAUGCUCCAGUGGGGGAUAUUGCACAAUGGGCGAAAGCCUGAUGCAGCAACGCCGCGUGAAGGAAGACGGAUUUCGGUCUGUAAACUUCUAUCAGCAGGGAAGAAAAUGACUGUACCUGACUAAGAAGCCCCGGCUAACUACGUGCCAGCAGCCGCGGUAAUACGUAGGGGGCAAGCGUUAUCCGGAAUUACUGGGUGUAAAGGGUACGUAGGCGGUUUAAUAAGUCAGAGGUGAAAGCCCGGGGCUCAACCCCGGGACUGCAUUUGAAACUGUUAAACUAGAGUGCAGGAGAGGAAAGUGGAAUUCCUAGUGUAGCGGUGAAAUGCGUAGAUAUUAGGAAGAACACCAGUGGCGAAGGCGGCUUUCUGGACUGUAACUGACGCUGAGGUACGAAAGCGUGGGGAGCGAACAGGAUUAGAUACCCCGGUAGUC
rnacentral:rRNA from 1 species